GCAGUAGCAGCACUGGUAACAGUCCAAAAUUUGAAUAGCCAUUAAUAGAAAAAUAUAAAGUGCCUGGUAAAACAUGACCACCACUAGGAAUACAAUCAUGAGGUCGGCAUCCACCCAUGACUUUGAGGGGUGCCUGCCUCUCUUGGAGACUUGCCAGUGUACAGGGUCCCUUCAAGACUGAAAGAAAAGAAGGACAUGAGGAGGUCAACGCCACCCACAAGCAGUGCCUCAGAAUAUAAUCCCUGUGAGCUUGCUAUGGAGCCAAGGCUGACCUCAAACCUGUGAUCCUCCUUCAUCAGUCUCUAAAUGCUGGGAUUAUAGCUCCUGAUUGCUGAACUCAGAAAACGCUGUGUCCAGUAACUGGAUCAAAGGAGUUUGGAGGCCCAUCUGAAACUUUUGUAAUUUGUGUCAAAUACCUAGGGCUGAUUGACUAAUAAAAUGUUGUCCCAUGAGUGUCUGCUUCU